CUACGGGGGGCUGCAGUGGGGAAUUUUGGACAAUGGGGGCAACCCUGAUCCAGCAAUGCCGCGUGAGUGAAGAAGGCCUUCGGGUUGUAAAGCUCUUUUGUCAGGGAAGAAACAGCAGCUCUAACACAGUCUGCGAAUGACGGUACCUGAAGAAUAAGCACCGGCUAACUACGUGCCAGCAGCCGCGGUAAUACGUAGGGUGCGAGCGUUAAUCGGAAUUACUGGGCGUAAAGCGUGCGCAGGCGGUUAUACAAGACAGGCGGGAAAUCCCCGGGCUUAACCUGGGAAUGGCGCCUGUGACUGUAUAGCUCGAGUGUGUCAGAGGGGGGUGGAAUUCCACGUGUAGCAGUGAAAUGCGUAGAUAUGUGGAGGAACACCAAUGGCGAAGGCAGCCCCCUGGGAUAACACUGACGCUCAUGCACGAAAGCGUGGGGAGCAAACAGGAUUAGAUACCCCUGUAGUC
rnacentral:rRNA from 1 species